rnacentral:rRNA from 1 species
CAGCCGCCACGGGAAUACGGAGGGGGCUAGCGUUGUUCGGAAUUACUGGGCGUAAAGCGCACGUAGGCGGCUUGGUAAGUUAGAGGUGAAAGCCCGGAGCUCAACUCCGGAAUUGCCUUUAAGACUGCCGAGCUAGUAGGUGAGAGAGGUAAGUGGAAUUCCGAGUGUAGAGGUGAAAUUCGUAGAUAUUCGGAAGAACACCAGUGGCGAAGGCGGCUUACUGGCUCAUUCUAGACGCUGAGGUGCGAAAGCGUGGGGAGCAAACAGGAUUAGAUACCCCUGUAGUCCCUGUCUCUUAUAC